GGAACUCCUCUUUCCCUCUUUUUAACAAUCCUAUGUAUAUGGAGAGUUAGCGUGCCGUGUCUUGAAAAAAGUAUUUGUGUAUUGUUGGAAUAAAUGUAUAUAUUUCCCCCGCCUUGUUCCCUGUUUCUCUUCUUGCUAUUUGGGAUCCUUAAAAGAAGUGCAGAGGACUUUGGUCUGUGGUGUCAGGAGAGAUCUCAGGCCUGGAUGUCUUGAUUGUCCUUCUAGUCUUGGUUAUCAUCACAAAGAUGGAUUCAAGUUCAAGGCACAGAUCCUUUUAUUUAUUUAUUUUUUUAAUGGCACCAUCCUUGGCAUAUGGAAAUUCGCAGGCCAGGAAUUGAAUCUGAGCUGCAGCUGCCGCCUACACCACAGCUGAGGCAACACUGGAGCCUUGAACUCGCUGCGCCAGGCUGGGGAUUGAACCUGUACCUCCAGAGUGACCCGAGCCUCUGCAGUUGGAUUCUUAACCCACUGCACCACAGCGGGAACUCCCACAGAUCCACAGAUACCUGAUGACACUGCCAAGCACACGUCUGUGUUUUUUUUUUUUGCUUUUUAGGGUCACACCCUCAGCAUAUGGAGGUUCCCAGGCUAGAGGUUGAAUCAGGGUUGCAGCUGCCGGCCUACGCCACAGCCACAGCCACGCAGGAUCUGAGCUGCGUCUGCAACCUACACCACUGCUCAUGGCAACGCCAGAUCCUUAACCCACUGAGCGAGGCCAGGGAUCGAACCUGUGUCCUCAUGGAUGCUAGUCAGGUUUGUUAACCACUAAGCCACGAUGGGAACUCCUCUUCUAGGUUCUUGAAACAGAGUUGGGAACAAAAUAGAUACAAAUCCUUGCCCUUGGCGCUUACAUUCUGGGGAGCAGGGAGAGAAACGAUAAACAAGAAAAUAGUUAAAUAAGAAAAUAUGCUGUGUGUGUAUUAAGGAAGAAAACCUAAAGCAGCGGAGGAGUUCCCUUGUGGCCUAGUGGUUAAGGAUCUGGCAUUGUGACUGCUGUGGCUCAGGUCAUUGCUGUGGCGUGGGCUUGGUCCCUGGCCCGGCAACUUCCACGUGCCACAGAUGGGGCCAACAUAAUAAUAAUUUUUUAAAAAGCAGGAAAAUGGGAAAGGGAAUGUGUCUGAGGAGACAGGUGGUGGUGGAGGGUUGGGGGAGUGGUGAGGACGCCCUCACAUAGAUGGGACCUUGAACAAAGAGCUCAAAUAUAAGGUCCAUAUAAUACCUGGGAGCAGAUGGCACAAGCUGGCACCCUGUCCUUAUGAAAACAAAAACCCAUGCUAAUGUCAAAGGCCAUUAGAAUAUUGUUUGUGGUCAUUGAAGUUGACUGAGUCAGUAGGUUCCAUGUAUGUGCCAGCAGCGUCUAUGCAACUGUGGAAAUUCGUGACAAGCUAUAUUCGUGUUGGGGAGGGGGCUGUCCCAUGCGUGUUCCUUCAGGAGCCCACUGACCUCAGAUCCAGCCAACCUGACUAAUUUCUGCCAAUGGAAAGUUCGAUGUGGAAGGGAUUACAGCUGUUCUUUAAUGGGCUGAGUUCAUCGGGGGCCAGGAAAAAAAAAAAAAAACAAAGCUCUCAGGCUUUGGGAGGAGUGAGGAGUCUGAUGCACAAGCCUGAGCCUGAGGUGUGUGGAUGUGUCGAGGCCAAGGUGGCUCACCUUGGUCAUAGCCAGCCCUCCGGUAGGAUUCUUGGCUUGGCUGGUUGGCGUCCUUAUGACCCAAUGCUGGGAGGGUCCUUUUCUCAGAAGCCAGGCAGCUGGGAGCGGACGGCUGAGCUUUGGUGUUUCGGGUGAUCUGGUGAGGCUUGGUCAACCUGCUUGCGUGAACCUACCUACCCUGCGCCGACGUGGCGGCAGGUGUAACUCUUGGUCCCUACGCCAAGAGCAGUGUGUCAGCCUGUGAGUCACCUGCUGGGCUUUACUGGAAAGUUGGGGAGCGUGUGCACUGGUUGAGCUCGAGCACGAUUCUGUUCAUGAUGUAUUUCUUUUGACGGUGAACCAACAAUGCAAGUAGGUUUAGUAUAAAAAUAUCCACCCCAGAGUUAAUUAUCGCAGCCCAGACCUUGGCCUUGCCCCUUAGGGGAGACCUUGCUUCUACGAAAGGGCCUGGCGAAUGCAUUUGUGAAUUUCCUCCAUGUGCAUUAUGCAUAUGCUCUGACUGUUACCCAAUUUAAUUUGCUCCUCGGAGAUACCUUGUUUGGUCAUCUUCCUCAGAUGGAGUGAUGAUUACCUUCUAGAAGCCUCAUGACAAACCCUGAAGUAUGUUGCUUGCCAGCUCCACUUGGCCUAGGGAGGGAGAUGAGGUACCUGUGAGUAAGGGCAGGCUUCAGGAAUCAGACUCAGCUCUGUGACUUUGUGAGCUGGGAACCUGGGAAGCCUAAAGCUGAUGUGUGUGCCGAUGCCCAGGUCAAUGAUGGGGAUAGGACUACAGGCCACGUUGGAAUUACAGGCCUGCCUCCUCCUUGUGGAGCAGCUUUGGGCAGUUCACUUAUCUUCUCUGUGCCUCAGUCUCUUUAUCUGGAAAAUGGGUCUAGUCCUAGUACUUGGUUGAGCUGUCAUGCGAACCAGGUACAAAAACAAGAGGAGCAGCCCCCCAGCCCCGUGGUUUUCAGAGUAAGCGCUCAGGAAAUGUCAGUGACUCAGCCUCCCGUAAACCCACAAGCACAACCUGUCUCACAGACGAGGGACUGAGGCUUUACAAAAAUUAGGUGAGAGGUUUGUGACUAGAAAAGGAAUUUCUGGCCAGUCCAGGUCUGUUGCAUGGGAUAUGUAUGUAAAAUGCCUGUUAAAAUGUGUGCCGUUUGGUAUUUUCAGCUGGUAAUUUGAGUUUGAUUGAUUUUCCCCUUCUCAUGGUUCUGGACUCAGAAUGCACCCUUUCAGUCUUCCUGAUCUGCUUUGAAAUUCGGGAUUGGGACAGGCUGGUGGACCACCCGUGGCCAGAGGUGGCCUGCAGAGGUGGGACACCUGGCAUGGUAUGGAAGCUCUUGAUAUGCCAGGCCAUGCCCCCUUUUAUCUUCAUAAUUACAGGAGAUUUAAUUUUUUUUUCUUUUCAUUUUAGGGCUACACUCGAGGCAUAGGGUAGUUCCCAGGCUAGGGGUUGGAGCUACAGUUGCGGGCCUGCACCACAGCCAUGUGAGUUCCAAGCCGCCUUUGCUGCUCACAGCAAUGCUGGAUCCUUAACCCACUGAGUGAGGCCAGGGAUUGAACCCGCAUCCUAACGGACACUAUAUUGAUUUUUGUUUUUUGUUUUUUGGGGUCUUUUUUUUGCUUUUUAGGGCCGCAAGUGCGGCAUAUGGAGGUUCCCAGGCUAGGGGUUGAAUUGGAGCUGCAGCUGCCAGCCUACACCACAGCCACAGCCACACUGGAUCUGAGCCUCGACUGUACCCUACACCAAGCUCAUGGCAACAGUGGAUCCUUAACUCGCUGAUUGAGGCCAGGAAUUGAACCCACACCCUCUUGGAUACUACUUGGUUUCAUUACUGCUGAGCCACAACGGGAACUCCUGCAUAUUAGUUUUAGAUGAGAUAGAUUUUUAUCUUUUUUAUUUAUAGAGGCCUUUUGUCCUGUGUUGGGGUACAGAGUUAUAUAUGCACAUACUGCCUUUAGUGUUGAUUUGGUGGAACUUUUUUACAGCGGUAACAGUCGAGUUGGUGGAACGUACAGCAGAUUUGUUUCAGUAGCUUCUAGGCCGAGUCUGCUGUCAUUUUAUUCUGUGAGUCUGAGUGGCUCAUUUAACGCUUCUGACCUCAGAUGAAUGAGUGAUUUAUGACACCCUCCCUGCCCCCACCCCCAGUGCUUUCUACUCUUAUGUAUACAAGUCUAUGACUUUUCAUGGGUCUAUUGCCCUGGUUUAGGGCAUUUAAUAUUUUGACAGACAGGCUCGUUGUAUUUCCUAAUUGAAAGUAGCCUUUGCGGAGGAAAUAAAAUGGGCUUUUAUUUUAUUUCUUUAUUUAUAAGAAAAAUUUUUUUUAUUUAUAAAAAAAUUUAUUUAUUUAUUAAUUUUUUUUGCUUUUUUAGGGCCACAACUGCAGCAUAAGAAAGUUCCCAGGCUAGGGGUCGAAUCAGAACCGCAUCUACACCACAGCCACAGCAAUGCCUGAUCAGAGCUGCCUGAAACCUGCACCACAGCUUAUGGCAACGCUGCAUCCUUAACCCACUGAACAAGACUAGGGAUCGAACCCGCAACCUCGUGGAUACUAGUCAGGCUCAUGAUCCGCUGAGCCACAGUGGGAACUGUGCUUUUAGAGACUAAACCAUCUAAUGUCUAGGUGUUUGGAAGGGAGAGCAAGAUGAGUGGAGUCUCCCGACUCUAGAAGUCCCCUAAUUUAAUUGAUUAUGUCCCUGUCAUGAGCAGAGAACUUUGUAAGGUGUCAGGUAUUAAAAAAUGCAGCAGCGGCUGUGUUCUUCUUACCCAGUUUCACCUGGAUAUGUUCUGGUCUGGAAAAUGUGAAAUGACAAUUGCUGAUGUAUUUU
rnacentral:lncRNA from 1 species